GCUUACGGCCACACCACCCUGAGCACGCCCGCUCUCGUCUGAUCUCGGAAGCCAAGCAGGGUCGGGCCUGGUUAGUACUUGGAUGGGAGACCGCCCUGGGAAUACCAGGUGCUGUAAGCA